UGCCAGCCGCCGCGGUAAUACAUAGGGGUCAAGCGUUGUCCGGAUUUAUUGAGCGUAAAGAGCUCGUAGGCGGUUCAACAAGUCGGUCGUAAAAGUUUAGGGCUCAACCCUAAAAUGUCGAUCGAUACUGUUGUGACUAGGAUACGGUAGAGGUGAGUGGAACUCCAAGUGUAGAGGUGAAAUUCGUAGAUAUUUGGAAGAACACCAGUGGCGAAGGCGGCUCACUGGCUCGAUACUGACGCUGAGGUGCGAAAGUGUGGGGAGCAAACAGGAUUAGAUA
rnacentral:rRNA from 1 species